rnacentral:rRNA from 1 species
UACGGAGUUACAAAGGACGACAUUAGACGAAUCAUCUGGAAAGAUGAAUCAAAGAAGGUAAUAAUCCUGUAGUCGAAAAUGUUGUCUCUCUUGAGUGGAUCCUGAGUACGACGGAGCACGUGAAAUUCCGUCGGAAUCUGGGAGGACCAUCUCCUAAGGCUAAAUACUCUCUAGUGACCGAUAGUGAACCAGUACCGUGAGGGAAAGGUGAAAAGCACCCCGGAAGGGGAGUGAAAUAGAACCUGAAACCGUGUGCUUACAAGUAGUCAGAGCCCGUUAAUGGGUGAUGGCGUGCCUUUUGUAGAAUGAACCGGCGAGUUACGAUUUGAUGCAAGGUUAAGCAGUAAAUGUGGAGCCGUAGCGAAAGCGAGUCUGAAUAGGGCGUUUAGUAUUUGGUCGUAGACCCGAAACCAGGUGAUCUACCCUUGGUCAGGUUGAAGUUCAGGUAACACUGAAUGGAGGACCGAACCGACUUACGUUGAAAAGUGAGCGGAUGAACUGAGGGUAGCGGAGAAAUUCCAAUCGAACCUGGAGAUAGCUGGUUCUCUCCGAAAUAGCUUUAGGGCUAGCCUCAAGUGAUGAUUAUUGGAGGUAGAGCACUGUUUGGACGAGGGGCCCCUCUCGGGUUACCGAAUUCAGACAAACUCCGAAUGCCAAUUAAUUUAACUUGGGAGUCAGAACAUGGGUGAUAAGGUCCGUGUUCGAAAGGGAAACAGCCCAGACCACCAGCUAAGGUCCCAAAAUAUAUGUUAAGUGGAAAAGGAUGUGGCGUUGCCCAGACAACUAGGAUGUUGGCUUAGAAGCAGCCAUCAUUUAAAGAGUGCGUAAUAGCUCACUAGUCGAGUGACACUGCGCCGAAAAUGUACCGGGGCUAAACAUAUUACCGAAGCUGUGGAUUGUCCUUUGGACAAUGGUAGGAGAGCGUUCUAAGGGCGUUGAAGCAUGAUCGUAAGGACAUGUG